UUAGUGGCGGACGGGUGAGUAACGCGUGGAAAACCUGCCGUAUACUGGGGGAUAACACUUAGAAAUAGGUGCUAAUACCGCAUAAGCGCACAGCUUCGCAUGAAGCGGUGUGAAAAACUCUGGUGGUAUACGAUGGUUCCGCGUCUGAUUAGCUAGUUGGUGGGGUAAUGGCCUACCAAGGCAACGAUCAGUAGCCGGCCUGAGAGGGUGAACGGCCACAUUGGGACUGAGACACGACCCAAACUCCUACGGGAGGCAGCAG
rnacentral:rRNA from 1 species